rnacentral:rRNA from 1 species
UACGUAGGGGGCAAGCGUUGUCCGGAUUUAUUGGGCGUAAAGAGUAUGUAGGCGGUUGGGUAAGUUUGGUGUGAAAUCUCCCGGCUUAACUGGGAGGGUGCGCUAAAGACUGCCUGGCUCGAGUGUGGGAGAGGAAAGCGGAAUUCCUGGUGUAGCGGUGAAAUGCGUAGAUAUCAGGAGGAACACCUGCGGUGUAGACGGCUUUCUGGACCAUAACUGACGCUGAGAUACGAAAGCGUGGGUAGCAAACAGG